rnacentral:tRNA from 1 species
GUGGUGGCUCAGUGGUACAGUGCUUGCCUCACAUGGUGAAGCACUGGGUUCAAUUCUCAGCACCACA